AAUCCAUGCUGUGGGCACCUCCGCAAAAAAUCCUUGAAGCGCUCCCAUGUCUCAAAUAAUGACUCUAACUCCAUCUACACAAACGACGAUAUCUCAUUGUGAAGUUU